rnacentral:rRNA from 1 species
UACAGAGGUCCCGAGCGUUGUUCGGAUUCACUGGGCGUAAAGGGUGCGUAGGUGGUGAGGAAAGUCGGAUGUGAAAUCUCCGGGCUUAACCCGGAAACUGCAUUGGAAACUACCUUGCUAGAGGUUUUGAGGGGGGACUGGAAUUCUCGGUGUAGCAGUGAAAUGCGUAGAUAUCGAGAGGAACACCAGUGGCGAAGGCGAGUCCCUGGAAAACACCUGACACUGAGGCACGGAAGCUAGGGGAGCAAACGGG